GGAUCAGGCGGAAGCCGGGGCCCGGGGCUGGGCUUCGUGUCCUGCGUUCCGGGAGCGCCAACCCCUCCAGCAGAGGGGACGUGGCUGGUGGCUGGAGAAGCUGGAUUUGCCCUUUGAUGGUGGCCCUCUUGAUCCCCGGCUUGCUGAAGUCAAAGUAAGAUUGAGCGAAGUUCUUGUCUUCCUGACUCCAAGAUUUCAGUGGUGCUCUGGCUUCGCGUGGUUUCUCUGGCAGGGUCUCUGCGUGAUUUUCUGGCUCUCGCUCCUCCACAGUGGUCAGGAGGGGCUCUGUGGAAGGCUCCAGAGCCUCCUGGGGUGGAGCUUUCAUCAUGUGUUCCAAACUGGGCAGGUCCAUCCUGCUGGAGGAGGCCAUGGCCAGGGAAGAUGCAAAGGGAGAGGCUGUCGAUGCUGAGGCACGAGAGAAUUUGCUCCUGCUCCUCCAGAGAAAAUGGCUGGGACAGGCUGUUGAGGAAUAAUUCUGCAGGGAAAAGUGGAAGAUGGCUGUGAAAGACUGGGAGGAGGCUGGCUGUGUUUUCAGGGGUUCUUCCUGCACAGUCGGUAGAAGCUGAGCUGCUGGGGAAGGGGCUGGAAGAAAGCCCACACCGCAGGUAUCAGUAGCAAAUUCAAAAACUACAGAAUCAGCUCCAGAGGACUUUGUUAACAAGAAAGAGAAGAUUGAAAACAGCCCUGGGGCUACACCAACUCAAGAGCUCCCAGGCAAAGUGGCAUCCUGGACCCACCAUCUCUCCUACCCCAUCCUCAGUCGGUACUUCCCCAGGCACCGUUUGUUCUGGCAUGGGGCUAGUUCAGCCCUGGGACCACCCUCAUCCUUAUAACUACCAGCUGUCUUUGGUGAGGUGCAAGAUCUCUCUGGUUUUCUUUAUUUCAUUUUCAUUCCUAUAAUCACAGCCUUUUUUGUGCCCAUCCCUCAGGUGACAUUCUAUUAUGUUUGAUGUGUCAUUUUUGAUUUGGUUGUGUCCUUGCAAAAUGUGCGUUGUUUUAUUUAUCAAUUUAUUUUUAUUUUUAUUUUUUUAAAGAGAUGAGGUCUCAUCAUGUUGCCCAGGCUGGACUCCAACUCCUGGGCUCAAGCGAUCCUUCCACCUCAAUCUUCUGAGUGGCUGGGACUACAGAUGUGCGCCACCAUACCUGGCUAUUGAUCAAUUUUUAGUUUACCAAACAGGCAUUAUGUUCUGGGUCCCAUUCUGUGUCGGGUUCUCUUUUCACUCGGCACCAUGGCUUUAGGAUCCAUCCAUGCUGCUCUGUGAACGCCGAGUUGCUUUAACUGCUUGGUGCUCCAUGAGGCAUCCCCUUUUGUGUCUCUGUCCUCCCAGUGAGGGACCCCAUCGUACCCUACUCCCCUCCCACAAAGGAAGCUGUAGUGCGCGUCCUCAGGCGUGUCCCCAUAUGGAUCUGCUGGCAUUCGUUUGUCAGUGCACCCAGGGGUAGAAGUCCUUGGUCUCAGUCUGCAGACGUCUGCCUGAGUGCAGCCAGGUGCCCCCCCAGAGUGGGUAGCCUUGUCCACAUGCCCAUCAGCAGCACCUGAGGGGUCCCAACAGCCCUACAUCCCACCAACUUUCUGCUUUUUUCCAGUCAAAUGGCUCUUGAGUGUUACCUGGCUUUAUUUAUUUAUUUAUUUUUUGAGUCGGGUCUCUGUUGCGCAGGCUGGAGUGCAGUGGUGCAAUCAUGGCUCACUGCAGCCUCGACCUUCCAGGCUCAAACAAUCCUCUCACCUCCUGAGUAGCUAGGACUACACGCAUGUGCCACCAUGCCUGGCUAAUUUUUAAAUUUUUUUGCAGAGAAAGGGUCUUGCUAUGUUGCCCAGGCUGAUCUUGAACUCCUGGCCUCAAGCGAUCCUCCUGCCCCAGCCUCCCAAAGUGCUGGGAUUACAGGUGUGAGCCACUGCUCCCGGCCUGUCUUUAUUUUGUAUUCUUGGAUUCCUAGUGAGUUUGAGCCCCCUCUAUACAUCAUAACCCUUAUGAUACUAGUAAACAUAUAUUUUAUCUUUAACCCCAUUUCUGGCACAGAACUCCUAAAAGCCUUACUCUCCAAAAUGAUCUCUUUCUGUGUACUAAUGGAUUGACUGAAGGCUGGCAGCCCCUAGGUAGCUUCAAGAUGGGGGCUGGUCAUCAGAGAGACAUAGGCAGGAUUAGAGGGUUGGGACUUUCAUCCCACCAUCCCACGUACUGGGAGGGAAGGGGGCUAAAGGUUAAGCGGUUCGCCAAUGGCCAGUGAUUUAUUCAAUCAUGCCUACGUAAUGAAGCCUACACAAAAACCCAAGAAGACCGGGUUCAGAGAACUUCUGGUAGCUGGGCACAUGGAGGUUCCUGGAGGGUGCCAAGCCCUGGAAGCUCUGUGCUCCCUCCCACAUGCCUUGCCCUAUGCAUCUCUUCAUUUGUAUCCUUUGUAAUAUCCUUUCUAAUAAACUGGUAAAUGU
rnacentral:lncRNA from 10 species